rnacentral:rRNA from 1 species
AUUGAACGCUGGCGGCGUGCCUAAUACAUGCAAGUAGGACGCAGUUGCGAACGGGUGAGUAACGCGUAGGUAACUGCCUAUUAGAGGGGGAUAACUAUUGGAAACGAUAGCUAAUACCGCAUACUAGUAGAUGGACCUGCGUUGUAUUAGCUAGUAGGUAGGGUAAUGGCCUACCUAGGCAACGAUACAUAGCCGACCUGGGAGGGGGGUCGGCCAAACUGGGACUGGGACACGGGCCAGGCGUCUACGGGAGGCAGCAGUAGGGAAUCUUCGGCAAAGGGGGGAAAGCUGACCGGGCAAAGGCGCGGGAGUGAAGGAGGUUUUCGGAUCGGAAAGAUCUGUUGUUAAGGAAGCGGUACUUAACCAGAAAGCGACGGCUAACUACGUGCCAGCCGCCGCGGUAAUAC